GUGAGAGAGGAGAUGGACAGGUAGGAGAGGAGAUGGACAGGAGGGAGAGGAGAUGGACAGAAGGGAGAGGAGAUGGACAGGAGGGAGAGGAAAUGGACAGGUGAAAGGGGAGAUGGACAGGUAGGAGAGGAGAUGGACAGGAGGGAGAGGAGAUGGACAGGUAAUAGAGAGGAGAUGGACAGGUGAGAGAAGAAAUGGACAGGUAGAGAGGAGAUGGACAGGUAAAAGGGGAGAUGGACAGGUGGGAGAGGAGAUGGACAGGAGGGAGAGGAGAAGGACAGGUGAUAGAGAGGAGAUGGACAGGUGAAAGGGGAGAUGGACAUGUUGGAAAGGAGAUGGACAGUUGAAAGGGGGGAUGUACAGGUGAUAGAGAGGAGAUGGACAGGAGAAAGGGGAGAUGGACAGGUGAGAGAGGAGAUGGACAGGUGAUAGAGAGGAGAUGGACAGGUGAAAGGGGAGAUGGACAGGUGGAGAGGAGAUGGACAGGUGAAAGGGGAGAUGGAGAGGUGAAGGGGAGAUGGACAGGUGGAGGGGGAUGGACAGGAGGGAGAGGAGAUGGACAGGUUAGAGAGGAGAUGGACAGGAGGGAGAGUAGAUGGACAGGUGAAAGGGGAGAUGGACAGGAGGGAGAGGAGAUGGACAGGUGAAAGGGGAGAUGGACAGGAGGGAGAGGAGAUGGACAGGUGAAAGGGGAGAUGGACAGGUG
ensembl:lncRNA